UUAUCUGCUCCUUGUGGAAAUACUUAGUUUGUACUGAAAUCCCUGAUAAGUUCUUCUGGAUGCAUUCUGAAACAAAAGUCUGGCAGCAGUAACUGGAACCAGAUUGUCCAAAGCACAUACAUCCCAACUCCCUCCAACAUGGAAUCAUAACACAGCCACAUUUCGAGAGUUUCAAGUUUCAAUUGGAAGUAGUCUACAGACGAGCAGUUUGGAGAAGCUGACAUCUUUUAUAUAAUGUUAUGGAGAAAAAUAUAAGUGUGUUCUCAGAAACAACCAGCCUUGAAGGCUACAAGUGACAAGAAAGAUUCUGUUUCGAAUAUAGCCACAGAAAUAAAUGAUGGACAAAAAUCUGGGACAGUGCUUCCUGCUGUUGAACAGUGUUUAAACAGGAGUCUCUACAGACCGGAUGCUGUUGCACAGCCUGUGACAGAGGAUGAGUUUGCUUUGGAAUCUGAGGUGUCGCUACCUACUGGAUAAUGUUGCACAGCCUGUGACAAAGGAUAAGUUUGCUUUGGAAUCUGAGAGCAUUUCAGAACCAUACUUUAAGAACAGAGGACUAUUUCUCAACAAUCUGCAGAAAAGUUAGAUGCUGCAUGUGGCAUUGAAAAAACAGAAAAUGAAACCUUGUUUGAAGACCAAAAU